CCGCGGCAGCUUCCGGCCUGGCGCGCUGGAAAUGACGGUUGGGCGGGUGAGUCGAGUGUCUAAGAUAGCCUUUGCCCCGCGGGGCCGGUUCGAGCGCAGCGGCUUUGGCCUUUCUCCUGAAGCUCUCGCCUUGUGUUCUAAGUCCUGGGACGGAAAGACUCGCAGCGGCCUUGAGCCGGGACCUCCACCCUCUUGGGAGGCGUGGGGCCGAGGUAGCCUGGUGUUUCGGCCCCGUUGCCCUUCAGGGCUCCAGUCCGCUCACUUUCCUAGUGAAGACGGCUUUUACGGGCUCCAAACCUCUUGCCCUUACGGUUUUUGCUAACAAAACACUCUUUCACUAUGGCCCUUCCGCGUCCUUGUGGGCCCUUGUGUUGGGCAGUGGGGACUCGAAGACAACUCCUUACUCUCAGAGAGCUCCGAAACUAGUGGAGUAGAUAGACCCGGGGAAGUAAAUUCUGGUAUUAGAUGGAGUAGUGUAACUGAGCAAAGGCCGUGUGCCCGGGUCGCAAAAAGCCGGUCAGAUAGCGAGUGUUUGCUGCAAAGAAAGGGGUUUAUUUGCUGGGCGCCAAACGAAGGAGUAAAAGACAAGCCUCAGAUUCAUUCCAUCUUGGUCUUUAAGAGUGAAGUUUUUAUCAGAGGGGCGUACCUGGAGGUGAUUCUCCACAUUGUAGGAACUGAAUUUGAAGCCUCACAUCAGCCUCAGUUGGAAUUGAAUUCCUCUUUAUUGCUCACAGUCUCUCAGGUGGCUGAUGGCAGAUCCUGACCUCUCAGAGGCAUUGGCCAGUUGGAGAUCUCCCACCAGAUCUUCAGACUCACCUGUUAUCAGCAACUGCUGGGCCUCACUCACAAGGCCCUCAGCCAACUCUUGGAGCUCUGCUUGUGAUGGUUGCAGCCCAAACUACAUUCAAGAAGAUCCUGGAGCUGAAGCAAUUCCUAACCAUCCUUCACAGGGAGAUCCAAGCCUGGAUGAGGGUGUGUCAUCUAGGAAGCUUUGAGAAUGCAAUGACUGGUGCAGCAUUUGGACUGAGAAUGAAGGCAAUGAAGCCACUGAGGAUGAGCAGCAGGACUUUGAGGAGGCUGGAGCUCAUAACGGUGAAAGCAAGGAUUUGGCCCUGGUGAAGUCAGUGAUGAAAUGGCACAGACUAGCCCAGCAUCCCGGAAGUCCAGGGCUGUUCCCAAACUGACUGUCUUUUUGCCAGAUUCCUUGAAUCAAAGAUGUUGUCCUGUUGACUCUGGAACACUGACUACACGUAGUAGACUUAAUGAAUAAUCCCUUGACUAGUACCAGCUGACACUGUGAAAACACUGACCACUGGAAGAACACUGACAACGGCAAAUACUCAGGUUCUCCUAAAUAUGAUUCAGUAAAUAUUUAUGGAAUGCCAGUCUUAGCCAGGCAACUCUGCCAAACGCUGCAGGACAUACAAAUGAAAAGAAGGAUCCCAUCUUCCAGGGAGCACGCAGUGGUAGGAAAAUCAGAAGAUAGCACAAAGGGGACCUGAAUUCCACUGAAGGACCUGCUGCUGGUAAAUUAUGUGACCCUGAGCAACUCUCUUCCUGGCAAGGAAGCAAGCUCUCAAUUCUCUGAUGAGAACUAUAAAUGGAACUUAUUUCACAGGUUAUAAACUAUCUAACAAG